GCCGGGCGUGGUGGCGCGUGCCUGUAGUCCCAGCUACUCGGGAGGCUGAGGUGGGAGGAUCACUCGAGUCCAGGAGUUCUGGGCUGCAGUGCGCUAUGCCGAUCGGGUGUCCUCACUAAGUUUGGCAUCAAUAUGGUGACCUCCCGGGAGCGGUGGACCGCCAGGUUGCCUAAGGAGGGGUGAACCGACCCAGGUCGGAAACCUAGCAGGUCAAAACUCCCGUGCUGAUCAGAAAACCUCAGGUUUUCUUUGUCAAGGUCUUCAGCUGACUGGAAGAGGCCCACCCACAUCCU
ensembl:misc_RNA Metazoa_SRP Metazoan signal recognition particle RNA